AUUGAACGCUGGCGGCAGGCUUAACACAUGCAAGUCGAGCGAGCGGCGGACGGGUGAGUAAUGUCUGGGAAACUGCCUGAUGGAGGGGGAUAACUACUGGAAACGGUAGCUAAUACCGCAUACCAUCAGAUGUGCCCAGAUGGGAUUAGCUAGUAGGUGGGGUAAUGGCUCACCUAGGCUACGAUCCCUAGCUGGUCUGAGAGGAUGACCAGCCAAUCUUAAACGUAGACACGGUCAAGACGCCUACGGGAGGCAGCAGUGGGGAAUAUUUCGCAAUGGGCGCAAGCCUGAUGCAGCCAUGACGCGUGUGUGAAGAAGGCCUUCGGGUUGUAAAGCACUUUCAGCGAGGAGGCGUUACUCGCAGAAGAAGCACCGGCUAACUCCGUGCCAGCAGCCGCGGUAAUAC
rnacentral:rRNA from 1 species